rnacentral:rRNA from 1 species
AGAGAGAGACAUGCGCGCAUAUCAAUAAGCGGAGGAAAAGAAACUAACUAGGAUUCCCUCAGUAACGGCGAGUGAAGCGGGAAGAGCUCAAAUUUGAAAUCUUCAAGGUUCUACCUUGACGAAUUGUAGUUUAAAGAAGUGUUUUCUGUUGGAGUUUUGGUAAAAGUUCUUUGGAAUAGGACAUCAUAGAGGGUGAGAAUCCCGUAUUUGACCAUUAUUUCCAGCUUUGUGAUACACUUUCAAAGAGUCGGAUUGUUUGGGAAUGCAGUCCAAAAUGGGUGGUAAAUUUCAUCUAAAGCUAAAUAUUGGCGAGAGACCGAUAGCGAACAAGUACCGUGAGGGAAAGAUGAAAAGAACUUUGAAAAGAGAGUUAAACAGUACGUGAAAUUGUCAAAAGGGAAGCGUUUGACACCAGCGUUGUUUUCUCGAAAAUCAAUUAAAAAAGGCAGGAUUUUGUGUUGUAUUGACUUUAUCAGCUUUCUGCACUCUUUUCUUGUCUUUUUUAAUGCACUUUUCGUUUAACAAGUCAACAUCAGUUUCUUUUGUUGUAAAAGGGUCAUUGGAAGGUGGCUUUCUUUUCGGAGAAAGUGUUUAUAGCCUUUGCCUCUGCAAUCGGAGAGAUUGAGGUCUGCAGCGUAGAUCCUUCGGGGUUAGAUACAUUUGUGCUAAGUUAUAGCCUUUUCAUAGACAACUUGUUGACUAUGAUCAGUCAUGUAGCUUACUCGCUUAUGCUAUUUUACCUACGCUUAGGAUGUUGAUGUGAUACUGCGAGCA